rnacentral:rRNA from 1 species
ACUGCUCAGUAACACGUAGUCAACAUGCCCAGGGGACGUGGAUAACCUCGGGAAACUGAGGAUAAACCGCGAUAGGCCAAGGUUUCUGGAAUGGAUCAUGGCUGAAACCUAUAUGGCCCCUGGAUUGGACUGCGGCCGAUCAGGCUGUUGGUGAGGUAAUGGCCCACCAAACCUGUAACCGGUACGGGCUCUGAGAGGAGGAGCCCGGAGAUGGGCACUGAGACAAGGGCCCAGGCCCUAUGGGGCGCAGCAGGCGCGAAACCUCUGCAAUAGGCGAAAGCUUGACAGGGUUACUCUGAGUGACGUCCGUUAAGGACGUCUUUUGGCACCUCUAAAAAUGGUGCAGAAUAAGGGGUGGGCAAGUCUGGUGUCAGCCGCCGCGGUAAUACCAGCACCCCGAGUGGUCGGGACGAUUAUUGGGCCUAAAGCAUCCGUAGCCGGUUCUGCAAGUCUUCCGUUAAAUCCACCUGCUCAACAGAUGGGCCGCGGAGGAUACUACAGGGCUAGGAGGCGGGAGAGGCAAGCGGUACUCAGUGGGUAGGGGUAAAAUCCUCUGAUCCACUGAAGACCACCAGUGGCGAAGGCGGCUUGCCAGAACGCGCUCGACGGUGAGGGAUGAAAGCUGGGGGAGCAAACCGGAUUAGAUACCCGGGUAGUCCCAGCUGUAAACGAUGCAGACUCGGUGAAUGGGGUUGGCUUCGAGCCAACCCAGUGCCGCAGGGAAGCCGUUAAGUCUGCCGCCUGGGGAGUACGGUCGCAAGACUGAAACUUAAAGGAAUUGGCGGGGGANCAC